UGGGGAAUAUUGGACAAUGGGCGAAAGCCUGAUCCAGCCAUGCCGCAUGUGUGAAGAAGGUCUUCGGAUUGUAAAGCACUUUAAGUUGGGAGGAAGGGCAGUAAGCGAAUACCUUGCUGUUUUGACGUUACCGACAGAAUAAGCACCGGCUAACUCUGUGCCAGCAGCCGCGGUAAUACAGAGGGUGCAAGCGUUAAUCGGAAUUACUGGGCGUAAAGCGCGCGUAGGUGGUUCGUUAAGUUGAAUGUGAAAGCCCCGGGCUCAACCUGGGAACUGCAUCCAAAACUGGCGAGCUAGAGUAGGGCAGAGGGUGGUGGAAUUUCCUGUGUAGCGGUGAAAUGCGUAGAUAUAGGAAGGAACACCAGUGGCGAAGGCUACCACCUGGGCUCAUACUGACACUGAGGUGCGAAAGCGUGGGGAGCAAACAGG
rnacentral:rRNA from 1 species